rnacentral:rRNA from 1 species
UACAGAGGUGCCGAGCGUUAGGCGGAAUCACUGGGCUUAAAGCGUGUGUAGGCGGAUGCCUAAGUACCUUGUGAAAUCCCACGGCUUAACCGUGGAACUGCUUGGUAUACUGGGUGUCUUGAGCCACUUAGGGGCGACCGGAACAAACGGUGGAGCGGUGAAAUGCGUAGAUAUCAAGAGGAACACCUGAGGUGAAGACGGGUUGCUGGGCUGACACUGACGCUGAGGCGCGAAAGCCAGGGGAGCAAACGGG